rnacentral:rRNA from 1 species
UACGUAGGCAGCAAGCGUUGUUCGGAGUUACUGGGCGUAAAGGGUGCGUAGGUGGGCAGGUAAGUCCGUGGUGAAAUCCCUGAGCUUAACUCGGGAACUGCCAUGGAUACUAUUUGUCUUGAAUAUUGUGGAGGUAAGCGGAAUAUGUCAUGUAGCGGUGAAAUGCUUAGAUAUGACAUAGAACACCAAUUGCGAAGGCAGCUUACUACGCAGUUAUUGACACUGAGGCACGAAAGCGUGGGGAUCAAACAGG